rnacentral:rRNA from 1 species
CAGUAGCCGCGGUAAUGCGUAGGUGGCAAGCGUUGUCCGGAAUUAUUGGGCGUAAAGGGCUCGCAGGCGGUUUCUUAAGUCUGAUGUGAAAGCCCCCGGCUCAACCGGGGAGGGUCAUUGGAAACUGGGAAACUUGAGUGCAGAAGAGGAGAGUGGAAUUCCACGUGUAGCGGUGAAAUGCGUAGAGAUGUGGAGGAACACCAGUGGCGAAGGCGACUCUCUGGUCUGUAACUGACGCUGAGGAGCGAAAGCGUGGGGAGCGAACAGGAUUAGAUACCCCGGUAGUCCCUGUCUCUUAUAC